AUUCACUAGUUGUGGACGGAAUGGCCGAUGCCGGGACUGUGACCGGGAUCCGUCGGCCUGAAGUCGUCUGUUUCAGCUUGUGGCAGUAAUGGUGAAUAUUCUUCUACUGGACCUGGGUUUGCAGCUCCAAUGUUUUCGACAUGUGCAAGAGCUUCU